CAACAGCAACCUCCAUGGCAGAGGUAGCCAUGGCAAGAGGACAGCAGGCCAGGGCUCCACCUGUGCAGCCCACCUCAAUGGAAGCUCAAUGGAAGCAGGCCUCAGUUCAUCUCUAGUGUUCUGCUAGGUGCUGGGCUUGGGAAUGGCUAUGGCUCAGUUUGGAAUCUUGGCAGCAAAAGUCUUGAAUCUUUCCAUCCCAGCCACCAUGAGUAUCAGUCUAGGCUAAUCUUUGGGGGGAUGAGGGACACAACUCUUUAAGGAAUAGGACCUGAACUACAAAAUUCUAGAUAUUUCAUUUUGAAAAGUGUUGGGGAUAGAAUCAGGAGAAUGAUCCAACUAACUGCAUCUAUAAGUGAUACAGGUUGGAAAGAAGCAGAAGACUAUGAAUAAGAAGCAAGACCAAUGGACCAGAAGCAUCAAUGACACUGAAAACAAGAGCCCCUAAUAAUGAGGUGACGAGAGCAAGAAGAUUGAGAUUAGGGAGGACUACGGAAUGUCUGCCUCUCCUGCUUCCUAGGCUCAGCCGCUGCCAUGUCUGUGGGAAUGAAGAAGACCAAGAGGCCUCCCACUCCUGAAAGCCUUUUCGGAAGAGCAUCCAGCUUGUCGAUGAAGCUUCCUCCACAAUGUACCUUCAUCUUUACAGACCUCACCUCCCAACAUCACUGCCUUGG